rnacentral:rRNA from 1 species
UCUAGUAAUUAUCACCCUGCAACUCACAACUGGCAGCCCACUGAAGCUAAGCAGGUGUGAGCCUGGUCGGUACCUGGUUGGGAGACCUCCAGGGAAAAACUAAGGUUGCUGCUGGAA